CAUAUCUUUUACAAUUUUAUGCUAUGAUAUGGUAUGGGAUUUGUAUGCUAUGCUAUGAGAUUUGUAUGCUAUGCUAUGAGAUUUGUAUGCUAUGCUAUGAGAAAUUUAAAAGAGAUAGUUAUGGUAUGGUAUGGUAUGCUAUGCUAUGGUAUGGUAUGAGAUUUGAAGAAACGCGCCUCCUUUGUAUGAAGAGUUCCAAAUUUUUGUUUUAUCAAAAAGGCAAACAAAAUUAAAAAAUGAGAUAUUUUUUAUUUUAAACUGUUUUAUUUUUGUUUAAAAUAGCAGAGUAUAUUUACAAAUCCAUCAAAUUUAUAUUGUUGAUGCAUAUACACGUGAAAAUUUACAAAAAAAUCGUUUUUCGUUUCGUUGAAAUCAAUCCUAAAUUUUACAAAAAGUUGAAAAUGGCGGAACAGAGAGGUGCACGAUUGUCAGUGGAAACAAAGAGAAGGAUUUUAGCAAUUAGGAAAGAAGAAAGAAGUCUGGGGAAGAUUCGAAGUGUUCUUUGUUUGAGAUACGGUGUGAAAGUGAGUAGACAGGGGAUUUACAUGUUCCUGAAGAAGUGGGAUCGCGAUCAGACACUUGUGAGGAAAACAAGAGUGCCCGGGAUCGGCCAGACGAAACUGAAGGAAAUUCACAAAGACCUUAUUCAGAUGUGGCAAAUGGAAAACGAUGAACUGACUUGUGGUGAGAUGCGAGAGAAACUGAAGGACAGUGUUGGUUUAGACGUGUCACCUGCGCUUAUCUCGAAAGUGAGGAAAGACCUAGCAUGGCAAGCCAAAACUGGAAAUAGGACAUGUCAGCUCAUUAGUAGGAAAAACGUGAGGGAGAGAUUGCAAUGGUGUUUGAAAGCUGUUGAAGACAAAGAAGACUUCAAGAAUGUGAUAUUCACCGAUGAAACAACAGUAGAAAUGUGCUCAGCCGGGAGACUCCACUUUUUUUCAAAAAUCUUCGGAGAUACAGAAGAAAACAUCUAGAAGGAGUCGUCCUAAACAUGCUUACAAGGUACACGUUUGGGGAGGUAUUUCCUACGAAGGGAGAACAGACAUAUGCAUGUUUACAGGGACAAUGGAUUCUGUCAUAUACCAAGGGAUAAUAGAAAAGAACCUAAUCCCUUUUGCAGAGAAGAAAUUUCCAAAUGGAUUUAGAAUCUAUCAGAAUAAUGACAGCAAACAUGUGUCCAAGUCAACAAAGGAGUGGAUGCAACAGAAGAAUCUCUUGGACAAGAUCAUGAAAACACCAGCUUCGUCACCAGAUAUUAACCCAAUUGAAAACGUGUGGGCAGCUAUGAAACUAUAUCUCACAAAGACUGUGAAACCAAAGAAGAAGGAAGAACUUGUUGCUGGGAUCAGAGAUUUCUGGAAUGGCCUUUCCGCUGAUGGCUGCCAGAAAUUCAUUGACCAUAUUCACAAGGUGAUCCCAGCAGUUGUUUUGAACAGUGGGGAACAGUCAGGGUAUUAGAUGUGCUGUUCUUCAUAUGAUUAUGAACUUGAGUGAACAUGUCCAUCAGGAGAGGAUUCUUUGUUUUGAUAAAGACACUGCAGGCAUAUUGAAUUAAUGUGUACAAUAUUCAAAUUCUUUUGUAUGUAUUGAGCUGAUGAUAUCACCAUGCAAUGUCUAACCUUUCAUAUAUAUUCUUCUCAUAUAGUAUGUAUAUAUAAAAAUGCUUACGUUAUUUGAUUUUGAGUUUUCUUUCUUUUUUAAGUUUUUUCUUAAAUGUGGCUGCUCAAAGUUAUUUCUGUGCUUAGCGUCUACUUCAAAAUA